AGAGAAGGCGUAUAACUCAAUGCAUUUGAGAGCUGAAAUUUUUGGCCCUGGUCAUGAGGACUGAAAAUUUGCUCCAUCUUUCCUGAAUUUUUUUUUUUUUGUUGAGAAAAAUCUUUCCUGAAUUUUGUUAUGCGCGUAUCAAUCGUUUUUUUAUUCUAACGAAACAAAUUUUAGAGGAAAAAAAUGUCACAAUAUUGUCCAUCAAUCAUUUCACAUAUCUUUUAGAAAUGCAGAGAAUCAUUCACUUUUCUGCCUCUCGAGGUCGAGGUUAAUUGAAGGUUUUGUUCGAUCACAUUUGAUCAAAUUCGUGUCUUUGUUCAAGAAUUUUUCUGACAAAUAACAAUUCGUUUUUGUUCUCGAAUACAUGUAAUUCCUUUC
rnacentral:lncRNA from 1 species